GGCCAGGCGCCAUGCAUGGGCAGGCGCGUGAACCCCGCCAGGACCGGAAGGUAGCAACGGUAACGACGUCCUCCUAGUGCCGUGGAGUGCCUGGCCACC
rnacentral:SRP_RNA from 1 species